rnacentral:tRNA from 1 species
CGUAAUAGCUCAGCUGGUAGAGCAACUGACUUGUAAUCAGUAGGUCCAGGGUUCAAGUCCUUGUUACG